rnacentral:lncRNA from 1 species
CUGGAGAAGAUUCACCUGUGAAUGGGGCUGAAUAAUCAUUUGGACAUAUUAUAUCUAUCAGGAGAAGAUUUCAAAUUGCUUUACAAACAGCAAGAAAGUUUUCCUAGGCUUACUUGAAACCUGACUGAACUCCUAACAUCCACAGCAUCCUGAAGCAAGGAGAUCUACAGCUUAAUCACACAAUCUCC